rnacentral:rRNA from 1 species
AUGGAAAACGAUGGGAUCCUUUUCCACUGCCUCCCGGCCGACGCCGGCCGCAUCUACGUCGACGGUUGCUUCCUCCGCUGCGGCGCGGGCAGCUUCACCACCGUCGCUUCUGACACCAGUGACAUGUUCCUAUGCUUAAACGACACUGCACUGGCCACACCGCGCGCCGCCGCUCUGGUGUGCAACGUCACGCCGACCGCGCCAGGGGCGAGGGGGUACUACUACGCCGGGUGGGCGUCCGCGUCGGCGAUGUCGACCGGGCGCGCGGGUCGCGCGCGGGUGUACGUGGCGGCACAGUGCUGGAGGUCGUUGGACGCCAUCGCGUGCGCGGCCUGCACGGCGGCGCGCGACCGGGUGGUCCGGCAGCGCCUUCUCGGCGCCAAUGCCGGAUGCGUCUUCAGGUACGCGACGCAGCCCUUCUACCUGCCAGCCAAAGCUGCCGGCGGCGGCGGAUCAUCGACACGACACAUAAUCAUCAUCGUCUUCGCCUCCAACCUCUCCGCCAUGGCAGUCAUCAGCAUAGUAUUCAUCUGGACAUGAAUGAGGCCCAGGAGAGACGACCUCCACGACGACAUGGAUGGCUCAGGCCAGAUCAUCCGCACCAGCAUGUCGUCACAGCUCGGCUUCCGGUACGAGGAUCUGCGCAAGGCGACUAAUGACAUCAAUCAGAUCAACAAGCUUGCCCAGGGUGGCUAUGGUUCAGUUUACAAGGGUGUGCUUCCGGAUGGCCGGGAGAUCGCCGUGAAGCGGCUCUACCUCAACUUGCGGCAGUGGAUCAACUAGUUCUUCAACGAGGUGAAGCUCGUCAGCCAGGUGCAGCACAAGAACCUCAUCAAGCUCCUCGGGUGCAGCGUCGAGGGUCCCGAGAGCCUCCUCGUCUACGAGUACCUCUGCAACACCAGCCUCGAUCACUACCUCUUUGAGGCUUUCAAGAAGAAAGCGUUGGAUUGGGAGCGGCGGUUGGAGGUCGUCCUCGAUGCGGCGGAGGGUUUGUCAUACCUUCACAGUGGCUUUGAGGUUAGGAUCAUACAUAGGGACAUCAAGGCCAGCAAUGUGAUGCUGGAUGAGAGGUUUAGGCCUAAGAUUGGCGAUUUCGGCCUGGCAAGGAAAUUCAUGGAAGAUCAGACCCACCUCAGCACUGGCCUCGCGUGAACAUUUGGAUAUAUGGCUCCGGAGUACAUCGUUCACGGGCAGCUAACGGAGAAGACCGACAUCUACAGCUAUGGUGUGACCGACAUCUACAUCACCGGCUGCAAGAACCACAACUCUGUGGCCUCAACGGCUGAGAGACUGUCCCUCAUGUCACAGAUAUGGAAGCACUACACCGGCACCCUGAUGGAGAUCCUGGACCCAAACCUCCGCAACCAAUGCUCGGAGGCGGAAGCUCUCAAAGUGUUCCAAGUCGGGCUGCUGUGUGCGCAGGUGUCGCUGAACCUCGGACCAUCAAUGUGGAAGGUGGUGGAUAUGCUGGGUAGUGGUGAUAGGGUGCUGCCCCAGCUUACCGAGCCUCCGUUCAUUGACGUGAAGGGGUCGAAUGCAAAGAGCGAAAGCUCGGGUUCAUCAUGUCUGAUGUUGAACUCUGACAAGUCGCCGUUCUCGAUGAACAAGCUGUCAGUGAGUGGGGUGCAGGCCAGGUGA